rnacentral:ncRNA from 1 species
AUUCUUCACACUCCUUUGCAAUUACGCUUGAGCUACUCCUCCUGAGCUCCUGAAUCAAAAGACUCUGUCACGCACUCCUUGCGGACAAUAUGCACUCUUUUCAUAAAACGCUCCAAGUUAUCUCCCUUGGACUUGUUCCUCCUCAACACUCUGAACUUCUCAAGAUGAUUUCUUCGAUACUUAACUAGGUAUUGACCUUGCACACUCCUUGAUACAAACUUCCUUUAACUUGACUCCUAAAGGACAAUUGUGCAUCCCUUGCAAUAGUUCUCAAAGGAUCUUGGGUCGUAAAGGUCAGUCUGCCUACCUAGUGUGCACCUGCACUUCCGUCCCUUUUGUCGGCGGAGUGCUCCUGGCCUUAAUUGGCUGGGUCGUGGUUUCGACAUUGUUACUUUGAAAAAAAUAGAGUGCUCAAAGCAAGCUUAUGCUAUGAAUACAUUAGCAUGGAAUAAAGCAAUAGGAGUCUGGUCCUAUUGUGUUAUACUUCGGGACCAGAGUAAUGAUUAAUAGGGACUGCCGGGAGCAUUCGUAUUUCAUUGUCAUAGGUGAAAUUCUUGGAUUUAUGAAAGAUGAACCACUGUGAAAGCAUUUGCCAAGGAUGUUUUCAUUAAUCAAGAACUCAAGUUGGGGGCUCGAAGACGAUCAUAUACCAUCCUAGUCUCAACCAUAAACGAUGCCAACUAGGGAUCAACAGAUGUUUCUCUAAGGACUCCUCCAACACCUUAUGAGAAAUCAGAGUGUUUGGGUUCCGGGGGGAGUAUGGUCGCAAGGAUGAAACUUAAAGGAAUUGAUGGAAAGGCACCACUAGGAGUGGAUCUUGUGGCUUAAUUUGACUCAACACGGGAAAACUUACUAGGUCCAGACAUAGUAAGGAUUGAUAGAUUGAGAGAUCUUUCUUGAUUCUAUGGGUAGUGGUGCAUGGUCAUUCUUAGUUGGUUGAGCAAUUUUUCUAGUUAAUUCCUAUAAUGAACGAGACCUCAGCCUGCUAACUAGCUACGUGGAGGUUCCCCUUCGCAGCCAAUGUCUUAGAGGGACUAUGGUUGUUUAGGUCAUAGAAGUUUGAGGCAAUGAUAGGUCUGUGAUGCCCUUAGAUGUUCUGGGCCACACGCGCACUACACUGAUGCAGUCGACGAGUUUCUCUCCCUGGUUUAAGAGGAUCAGGAAAUUAUUUCAUCGUGAUGAGGAUAGACCAUUUAAAUUAGUGGUCUUCAAUGAGGAAUUCCUAGUAAGCGUGCUUCAUCAUCUCAUGUUGACUACGUCCAUGCCCUUUGUACACACCACCCGUCGCUCCUACCGAUUGAAUGAUCCAUUGAAGUGUUUGGCUCGCGUUAAUGAGGGUGGUUCAUCAUCGACGAUGUCAUGAGAAGUUCACUAAACCUUAUCAUUUAGAGGAAGGAUAAGUCGUAACAAGGUUACCGUAGAUGAACCUUCCAAAUAUUUAUGU